GGUCUCUGUGUUGGGCGUCUGUCUGCCCGCAUGCCUGCCUCUCUGUUGCUCUGAAGGAGGCAGGGGCUGGGCCUGCAGCUGCCUGGGCAGAG
rnacentral:pre_miRNA from 1 species